rnacentral:rRNA from 1 species
AGUAACGCGUGGGCAACCUGCCUUACACAGGGGGAUAACACUUAGAAAUAGGUGCUAAUACCGCAUAAGCGCACAGCUUUGCAUGAAGCAGUGUGAAAAACUCCGGUGGUGUAAGAUGGACCCGCGUCUGAUUAGCUGGUUGGCAGGGUAAAGGCCUACCAAGGCGACGAUCAGUAGCCGGCCUGAGAGGGUGAACGGCCACAUUGAGACUGAGACACGGCCCAGACUCCUACGGGAGGCAGCAG